ensembl:lincRNA
GGAUAGUGGGACAAACCACUGCAGAGAGGUCAGCAGACAGCCCCCUUCCUCCCUGCCUUAUGGUCCAGUUCAGAACCCCUGUCACCAACAUUCCCCAGUUCCCAACUCUGUGACAUCACAGUCUCCAGUCCACUCAGCCAGCAGGUGACAGAAGCUUAAAGAUAUGAACAUAAAUGCUCAUCAAAGGGCUAUUCAAAGGAGAUACUCAUUCAUCUCCCCAGAACACUGUUCGCUAUUUAGCCUUCGGAGACCCUGAGGGUUCUAGAGGCAGCAGACCAGGAUAUCUGAGCUGCACAGCUGCUGGAGGGUCUCCAUGAGGAUGAAGAAGGCAGUGGACAGGAGUCAUGAAGACCGAUUCCGAAACUCCACCACAAGGAGGGAAGAGGUCUGAGCCAUCCCUGUGCCACCAAGCGUGAGUCACACCAGCUCCUGACAGCCAGGGAGGGAGUGCUGCCUGCAAUUAAAGUCCUUGUUUGCAUCAG